UUGCGCAGGGAAAUAAGAUUUUCUUAAUAUUCCGUUCAGCAAACAGCAAUUUGGUGACAUGGAUGUCACCAAAAGCCCGCAAUGAGCCUGGAUGGCGAAUCGCGGGCGGUUGCGUCCUUCUGCAGCUAUUUUGCCGGAAUAUUUAGAAAAUCCAUUUCCCGAAGCUG
rfam:Lachnospiraceae bacterium 28-4 genomic scaffold acPFn-supercont1.3, whole genome shotgun sequence.